rnacentral:lncRNA from 1 species
CAGAAUUCCAAAACAUAUACCUUGGCAUGAGACUGGUGGCAAACAUCACAUGGAUACUUACUGAAUUAAGACAGAAGGACAGUUGAGAGAAGAUCAGUGUGCAGCUCUCGGCUACUUCUCCAGCACUCUGCUUGCCAUGUCUGUCUCCAGGCUCCCUGUCACAAUGACCAUGGACUCCUCUAAACUGUAAGCAACUCCCCAA